rnacentral:rRNA from 1 species
AUGAAUUCUAGAAUGCUUUUCAGUUUCAAAUCAAGAACUCUAGCUUGUUUACCUGCCAUUGUGCGCUGCUGCUCGGGUGUGUUCGGUCUUCUACUGAGAUGUCUGGUGAAUGUUGUGUUUUCAGACGUGGUAUGGAAUGGGAUGGAGCAGUACUAUUGGGUAGAGCUGUGUGCGCUGCUGCUCGGGUGUGUUGUCGGUCUUCUACUAAGAUGUCUGGUGAAUGUUGUGUUUUCAGACGUGGUAUGGAAUGGGAUGGAGCAGUACUAUUGGGUAGAGCUGUGUGCGCUGCUGCUCGGGUGUGUUGUCGGUCUUCUACUGAGAUGUCUGGUGAAUGUUGUGUUUUCAGACGUGGUAUGGAAUGGGAUGGAGCAGUACUAUUGGGUAGAGCUGUGUGGCUGA